AGUGGAAUGAUUGGGUCAAAUGGUAUAUCCAUUCCAAGUGUUCUGAGGAAUUGCCAUACUACUUUCCAAAGCGAUUGCACAAAUUUGCAGUCCCACCAGUAAU
rnacentral:pre_miRNA from 1 species